CCUAGAUCCCGCCGCCGCCCUCCCUGUUCGUUGGCUUGGGCUGCUCCGCUGCUGCUCCUAGCCGAGCAUGGACGAAAUGGAAGUGGAUCAGCAACAGCCACCACAUGAAAAUGAGAAGAGAAUAUUUGAGAGACUCAUGAAAACCACAGAUUUUCGUGGUCAUAGCUGUGGUAUUCUGAUCCAGCCCUAUGAGUUUAGUUGUUCUCAAAAUGGAGAACUUGGAGAAAAAGAUGGUUUCAUUCAUUAUUCAAAUAAAACAAUAACUUUUGCUGGGAAUAAAGAUGAGGAUUUGAUUCAACAGCAGUGAAGAAACGACCGGCUACUUUCUUAGUUGAGAAUGAAGUUCCUUUUGGUCAGCUAAACGUAAUAGGGCUAAACCCACACUUUGAUAUAGGGAUUGUUAAGACCCACGGUGUUGCCUAUAAUACGCAGAUUGGAAGAACAGUGACAGCUUUUGCUCACUCUAGCCAAAGUGUGCACUCCUGGUUACAAUCCUUAAACAAUCAAGGUUUCAUUCCACCAGUGCUAAGAGAUUGUAUUAGGAAUUUGUAUGAGAAGCUUGAGAGGUUGUGGGACAAAAACCAGACAGUAGUUGAUGUGGACCUUAUUGGUACUUAUGCUCUCAAUGACCACAUCAUGCAAAUUAAGCAAAGCCAGAUUCGUAUUAGGAAUCUUGGUGAUCGUACGCCUAUUCAAGGUUUGGCAGACAUGAUACAAAACAAUAUUUUGAAUCUAUGGGCACAAGAUAUUGAACUACGUCACUUCCAUGCCUUCCUCCUUAAGCCAAUAUAAGUAAACAAGAUGUCCUCGAUCAUCCAUUCCUAGGAGACUCCCCUGCUAGGGAGCGGAGGUACAAGAAAAUCUUUAGAGAAUUGUUUACCGAUAAACAAAAAGAUGGGAUGGACAACAACCUUAACACAAGAGGGUGGCAACACAGACUUUGUCACCUUAAAACAAAUGCAAGUGCAAAGGCAAAUCGGGAUCUUAUGCACUUUCAAACUAGGACUGCCAAUGGGUUUGCACCAAGUUCAUGGGGAGCACUGCACUUUGCAAAAGUUGCCAUAUCCCAUUAUCAUCAGUAUGAUCCUAAAGGGCGUCACCAGCUUGAUGAAAUGCGCAAGGUCAAUCUACCUGGCCUUCUCACUGGAAUAUAUGGUGUGAGGUUUGAUGACGCCUUUAAAGCUCUCAUAUGAUCUACCUGCCUUCUCCAUGGAGUAUAUGGUACCAGAUUUGAUGACCACUUUAUAGGUCUGUGCUAGUUUCUGGCUAGAUAUCCAACUUGUAUGCAUGUGAGCUUGUGAGCUAACCGUGGGACUAUUGACUUAA